rnacentral:rRNA from 1 species
GACGAACGCUGGCGGCGUGCUUAACACAUGCAAGUCGAACGAAGAGAAAUGGAAGCUUGCUUCUAUGGAUCUUAGUGGCGAACGGGUGAGUAACGCGUAAUCAACCUGCCCUUCAGAGGGGGACAACAGUUGGAAACGACUGCUAAUACCGCAUACGAUCCAAUCUCGGCAUCGAGAGUGGAUGAAAGGUGGCCUCUAUUUAUAAGCUAUCACUGAAGGAGGGGAUUGCGUCUGAUUAGCUAGUUGGAGGGGUAACGGCCCAUCAAGGCGAUGAUCAGUAGCCGGUCUGAGAGGAUGAACGGCCACAUUGGGACUGAGACACGGCCCAGACUCCUACGGGAGGCAGCAGUGGGGAAUCUUCCGCAAUGGACGAAAGUCUGACGGAGCAACGCCGCGUGAGUGAUGACCGGCUUCGGGUUGUAAAGCUCUGUUAAUCGGGACGAAUGGUUCUUGUGCAAAUAGUGCGAGGAUUUGACGUACCGGAAUAGA